AUGGACAAAUGCCCUAAGUUAUUUUGCUUUUUUAUUUUUGUGCUUUUAGUGGACUGUCACCUUUAUUUACACGUAGCUGAUUCUGCACCCAUAAAACUCCAUGGAUUGCCAAAUGAAUCAAAUGAAAACAAUGAAGCAUAUCAACACAAUGAAUAUCCAUCAAAAUAUUCAGGUAUGACGAAAAACAAGAGUACCACCUCCAAGAUGAAAAUCGAGCAAGACAAUGAUAUAGCAUAUGCUAUACCUAAAAGAUACAUCAAAUGGAAUAUAAGGAAUAUGGAUUUAUAAAACUCAAUCCAUAGUUUCCCUUUCAUAUACAACCACACAACCAGAAACAAUAAAUGCAUCAUGUAAUCAGAAAAGUAUGGCCA
rnacentral:lncRNA from 1 species